rnacentral:rRNA from 1 species
AUUGAACGCUGGCGGCAGGCCUAACACAUGCAAGUCGAACGAGCGGCGGACGGGUGAGUAAUGUCUGGGAAACUGCCUGAUUGAGGGGGAUAACUCCUGGAAACGGGAGCUAAUACCGCAUACCCUCAGAUGUGCCCAGAUGGGAUUAGCUAGUGGGUGGGGUAACGGCUCACCAAGGCGACGAUCGCUAGCUGGUCUGAGAGGAUGACCAGCCACACUGGAACUGAGACACGGCCCAGACUCCUACGGGAGGCAGCAGUGGGGAAUAGUGCACAAUGGGCGCAAGCCUGAUGCAGCCAUGCCGCGUGUAUGAAGAAGGCCUUAGGGUUGUAAAGUACUUUCAGCGGGGAGGCGUUACCCGCAGAAGAAGCACCGGCUAACUCCGUGCCAGCAGCCGCGGUAAUUC